rnacentral:rRNA from 1 species
AAUCAACGCUGGCGGCGUGCCUCAGACAUGCAAGUCGAACGUGAAAGUUCCUUCGGGAAUGAGUAAAGUGGCGCACGGGUGAGUAACACGUGGGUAAUUUGCCUUCGGGUGGGAAGUACCAACCGGAAACGGUUGUUAAUACCGCAUGAUGCAGCGGCUCGACAUCGAGACAGUUGUUAAAGCGGGGGAGGCGGAGCAAUCCGUCCUCGCGCCUGAAGAGAAG